rnacentral:misc_RNA from 1 species
UACGUAGGGGGCAAGCGUUGUCCGGAAUUAUUGGGCGUAAAGCGCGCGCAGGCGCUCUUUUAAGUCUGCUGUGAAAGCCCACGGCUCAACCGUGGACGGUCAUUGGGAACUGGGAGACUUGAGUGUAGGAGAGGAAAGUGGAAUUCCACGUGUAGCGGAGAAAUGCGUAGAGAUGUGGAGGAACACCAGUGGCGAAGGCGACUUUCUGGCCUAUAACUGACGCUGAGGCGCGAAAGCGUGGGGAGCAAACAGG